CAUGGUCGUUCAGACUCUCCUCUCCAUCAUCUUCAUCACACGCAUUAUUAUGUGGAAAACAUGGAUCAGUAGGCAUAUGGGGUGGAGGACCUGACUGCCACAGACAUCCCCUGACUGCUCUGUGCGUCCAGAUCAAAGACGUAUGGCAAGCUCAUCAGCAACAAAUCCCAUAUUGGAGCAUCAAUGUAGGGUGACUAAGCUUGUCCCACUGAGGACAGGGUUAUAUCUCUCCAGUCCAGACCCAUUCCAGCCUGGACUGGUUAUAGCUCAGAGAGUGGCCAAGAUCCAACCCUGUGUCUGUUUACAAUUAGGACUGUUUUGAGUCUCUGUGGUUAUAUAGCAUGUGUAUAUCAGGGCUCUUCAACCUAGUUUCUGGAGAGCUACUCUACCUUCCUGUAGGUUUUCUUUCCAACCCCAGCAGUCUCUCCUCCUAGGUCUGAGGAGCACACAAGAGACUGGUCUGUCUUGCGGCAGAGAGACAUGGAUCAAACCAGGCUGCCCUGUGGACAGUAUGACUAUGACCUGCUGGUCAUUGGAGGGGGGUCUGGAGGCCUGGCUGUGGCCAAGGAAGCUGCUGAGAGAGAGGGUGCUGGUUUGGGAGGAGGGUGCUGGUCCUUGACUUGGUGGCUCCCACCCCUAAAGUCAUUAAAUGGGGUUGUGUGAUGCAGACAGUGUUUUCACCAUAUUGCUUAUUCCUUUAUAACAUAAUGUAAUUUUGUGAGUGGUUAUUGACUUUCGCUGUCCGCCAGGUCUAGCUGGUUCCAGUGUGAACGUAGGCAGUAUUCCCAGGAACCUCCUGCACCAAGCCUCUCCACUGGGAAAAGCCAUCCAGGAUGCCCGGUAGUACGGCUUUUUUUGAGGAACAGGUGUCCCAUGGCUGGGGUGAAAUGGUGGAGGCGGUACAACAACAUGUGAAGUCUGUGAGCUUCGAGCUGAGGAGGGAGCUGAGGGACAGUGACGUCACCUACCUGAACGCCCUUGGAGAGAUACUGGAGCCACACACUGUACAGGUCAGCAUGGGGGAGAGGCUUCUGGACAGGUGAGAAUAAUGGGAGUAGAAGGAGGUCUGGACAGUUGAACAGGGUGGUGGUUGGUGUUGUGUACAGCUAAGCAUGAGGAAGCAGUUUGGAUAGGGGACUUCAAGCAAGGAUUCUCUGUGUUUCCUCAUGGGAUUUCAAUAGUAACGGCUCUGGUCAGUGGUGUCAUGUCACUCUGUGGCUGUUAUCCAAUCAGGCAACAGAUGUCAACGUGAGGAGGACCUAUCACACAGCCAGCAGAGACACUCGUCAUUGCCGUGGGGGACAGGAAACAAUACCUGAUCAUACCUGGAGACAGAGAGCACUGCAUCACCAGUUUAGCAUGCAGACAAACACACACACACACACACACACACACACACACACACACACACACACACACACACACACACACACACACACACACACACACACACACACACACACACACACACACACACACACACACACACACACACACACACACACACACCACAAACAUAGAAGGAACAUCUCUACCAACGGUCCUCUCACUCUCAUUUCUCUCCCACUCUCUUCCCCAGUGAUGACUUGUUCUCUCUGUCCCCACUCCUCUGGGCGGACCCUGGUUGUGGGGGGAUCCAGUGAGGGACUGGAGUGUGCUGGCUUCCUGUCUGGUCUGGGGUUAGAGGUCACCGUCCUGGUGCGGUCACACCUGGUACCUGGGUUCGACCACAAAAGGCUGCAGAAAAUCGAGAACCACAUGCUGGUCCA